rnacentral:rRNA from 1 species
AUACGUAGGGGGCGAGCGUUAUCCGGAUUCACUGGGUGUAAAGGGAGCGUAGACGGAAAGACAAGCCAGAUGUGAAAAUCCGGGGCUCAACCCCGGACCUGCAUUUGGAACUGUUUAUCUGGAGUACCGGGUGGGCAGGCGGAAUUCCUGGUGUAGCGGUGAAAUGCGUAGAUAUCAGGAGGAACACCGGUGGCGAAGGCGGCCGGCUGGACGGAUACGGACGUUGAGGCUCGAAAGCGUGGGGAGCAAACAGGAUUAGAUACCCUGGUAGUCCACGUCGUAAACGAUGAAUACUAGGUGUCAGGCCCCAGAGGGGUGUGGUGCCGAAGCGAACGCAUUAAGUAUUCCACCUGGGGAGUACGUCCGCAAGAAUGAAACUCAAAUGAAUUGACGGGG